rnacentral:rRNA from 1 species
AUUGAACGCUGGCGGCAGGCCUAACACAUGCAAGUCGAGCGGAUGAAGGGAGCUUGCUCCUGGAUUCAGCGGCGGACGGGUGAGUAAUGCCUAGGAAUCUGCCUGGUAGUGGGGGAUAACGUCCGGAAACGGGCGCUAAUACCGCAUACGUCCUGAGGGAGAAAGUGGGGGAUCUUCGGACCUCACGCUAUCAGAUGAGCCUAGGUCGGAUUAGCUAGUUGGUGGGGUAAAGGCCUACCAAGGCGACGAUCCGUAACUGGUCUGAGAGGAUGAUCAGUCACACUGGAACUGAGACACGGUCCAGACGACUACGAGAGGCAGCAGUGGGGAAUAUUGGACAAUGGGCGAAAGCCUGAUCCAGCCAUGCCGCGUGUGUGAAGAAGGUCUUCGGAUUGUAAAGCACGUUAAGUUGGGAGGAAGGGCAGUAAGUUAAUACCUUGCUGUUUUGACGUUACCAACAGAAUAAGCACCGGCUAACUUCGUG